rnacentral:rRNA from 1 species
GACGAACGCUGGCGGCGUGCCUAACACAUGCAAGUCGAGCGGGGUUGAAGCGAGGGGUAACUCGGACUUCUACCUAGCGGCGGACGGGUGAGUAACGCGUGGGCAACCUGCCUCAAGGUUUGGGAUAACAGCUCGAAAGGGCUGCUAAUACCGGAUAUGCCUGUGGCCUCGCAUGGGGCUAUGAGCAAAGGGGAAACCCGCCUUGAGAUGGGCCCGCGUCCCAUCAGCUAGUUGGUGAGGUGAAGGCUCACCAAGGCGACGACGGGUAGCCGGCCUGAGAGGGUGACCGGCCACACUGGGACUGAGACACGGCCCAGACUCCUACGGGGGGCAGCAGUGGGGGAUCUUGCACAAUGGGCGAAAGCCUGAUGCAGCGACGCCGCGUGAGCGAAGAAGGCCUUCGGGUUGUAAAGCUCUGUCUGGAGGGACGAAGGAAGUGACGGUACCUCCGGAGGAAGCCACGGCUAACUACGUG